rnacentral:rRNA from 1 species
GGCGACCGGCGCACGGGUGAGUAACACGUAUCCAACCUGCCGAUAACUCCGGGAUAGCCUUUCGAAAGAAAGAUUAAUACCGGAUGGCAUACGAAUAUCGCAUGAUAUUUUUAUUAAAGAAUUUCGGUUAUCGAUGGGGAUGCGUUCCAUUAGUUUGUUGGCGGGGCAACGGCCCACCAAGACUACGAUGGAUAGGGGUUCUGAGAGGAAGGUCCCCCACAUUGGAACUGAGACACGGUCCAA